UAAUACGUAGGGUGCGAGCGUUAUCCGGAAUUAUUGGGCGUAAAGAGCUCGUAGGCGGUUUGUCGCGUCUGUCGUGAAAGUCCGGGGCUUAACCCCGGAUCUGCGGUGGGUACGGGCAGACUAGAGUGCAGUAGGGGAGACUGGAAUUCCUGGUGUAGCGGUGGAAUGCGCAGAUAUCAGGAGGAACACCGAUGGCGAAGGCAGGUCUCUGGGCUGUAACUGACGCUGAGGAGCGAAAGCAUGGGGAGCGAACAGGAUUAGAUACCCUGGUAGUCCAUGCCGUAAACGUUGGGCACUAGGUGUGGGGACCAUUCCACGGUUUCCGCGCCGCAGCUAACGCAUUAAGUGCCCCGCCUGGGGAGUACGGCCGCAAGGCUAAA
rnacentral:rRNA from 1 species